GACGAACGCUGGCGGCGUGCUUAACACAUGCAAGUCGAACGGAAAGGCCUGCUUUCCCUUGUGGAUUGCGGGUACUCGAGUGGCGAACGGGUGAGUAACACGUGAGUGAUCUGCCCCCAACUUGGGUAUAAGCCUGGGAAACUGGGUCUAAUUCCCGAUAGGACUGCAGGGUGGUGCCUGUGGUGGAAAACGAUUUUCUAGUGGUUGGGGAUGAGCUCGCGGCCUAUCAGCUUGUUGGUGGGGUAAUGGCCUACCAAGGCGGCGACGGGUAGCCGGCCUGGGAGGGUGGACGGCCACAUUGGGACUGAGAUACGGCCCAGACUGCGACGGGAGGCAGCAGUGGGGAAUAUUGCACAAUGGGCGGAAGCCUGAUGCAGCGACGCCGCGUGGGGGAUGACGGCCUUCGGGUUGUAAACUCCUUUCGACCGCGAGGAAGCCACCUGGUUGGAAGGGUGGUGACGGUAGUGGUAGAAGAAGCACCGGCUAACUACGU
rnacentral:rRNA from 1 species